AGUCUGGUGCCAGCAGCCGCGGUAAUUCCAGCUCCAAUAGCGUAUAUUAAAGUUGCUGCGGUUAAAAAGCUCGUAGUUGGAUUUUGGAACCUGAACGUUUGGUCCGGCUCUGCCGCGUACUGAUCGUUCGGUUCUUCUGUCUGGAGACUCCUUGUCCCUUCUUAGCUGAAGGGCUUGGGGGAUCUAGGACUUUUACUUUGAACAAAUUAGAGUGCCCAACGCAGGCCUAUGCCUUGAAUACAUUAGCAUGGAAUAACGUAUAGGACUUUGGUUCUAUUUUGUUGGUUUUAAGGACCGAAGUAAUGAUUAAUAGGGACAGUUGGGGGCAUUAAUAUUUAAUUGUCAGAGGUGAAAUUCUUAGAUUUAUGAAAGAUUAACUUCUGCGAAAGCAUUUGCCAAGGAUGUUUUCAUUAAUCAAGAACGAAAGUUAGGGGAUCGAAGACGAUCAGAUACCGUCGUAGUCUUAACCAUAAACUAUGCCGACUAGGGAUUGGAAGAUGUUAUUUUCACGACUCCUUCAGCACCUUAUGAGAAAUCAAAGUCUUUGGGUUCCGGGGGGAGUAUGGUCGCAAGGCUGAAACUUAAAGGAAUUGACGGAAGGGCACCACCAGGAGUGGAGCCUGCGGCUUAAUUUGACCCAACACGGGAAAACUUACCAGGUCCAGACAUAGUAAGGAUUGACAGAUUGAGAGCUCUUUCUUGAUUCUAUGGGUGGUGGUGCAUGGCCGUUCUUAGUUGGUGGAGUGAUUUGUCUGCUUAAUUGCGAUAACGAACGAGACCUUAACCUACUAAAUAGUUACGCGAACCACUUCGUUCGUGGCCAACUUCUUAGAGGGACUUUUGCGUGCUUUAACCAAAGGAAGUUUGAGGCAAUAACAGGUCUGUGAUGCCCUUAGAUGUUCUGGGCCGCACGCGCGCUACACUGAUACGUUCAGCAAGUUUACAACCUUGACCGGCAGGUCUGGGUAAUCUCUAAAAGCGUAUCGUGAUGGGGAUAGAUCUUUGUAAUUUUGGAUCUUCAACGAGGAAUUCCUAGUAAACGCGAGUCAUCAGCUCGCAUUGAUUACGUCCCUGCCCUUUGUACACACCGCCCGUCGCUCCUACCGAUUGAAUGGUCCGGUGAGCUCUUCGGACUGACUGGGUACCUCUGGCAACAGAGGCCUGUGUCGGGAAGUUGCACUAGCCUUAUCAUUUAGAGGAAGGAGAAGUCGUAACAAGGUUUCCGUAGGUGAACCUGCGGAAG
rnacentral:rRNA from 1 species